UGGGGAAUAUUGCACAAUGGGCGCAAGCCUGAUGCAGCCAUGCCGCGUGUAUGAAGAAGGCCUUCGGGUUGUAAAGUACUUUCAGCGGGGAGGAAGGGAGUAAAGUUAAUACCUUUGCUCAUUGACGUUACCCGCAGAAGAAGCACCGGCUAACUCCGUGCCAGCAGCCGCGGUAAUACGGAGGGUGCAAGCGUUAAUCGGAAUUACUGGGCGUAAAGCGCACGCAGGCUGUUUGUUAAGUCAGAUGUGAAAUCCCCGGGCUCAACCUGGGAACUGCAUCUGAUACUGGCAAGCUUGAGUCUCGUAGAGGGGGGUAGAAUUCCAGGUGUAGCGGUGAAAUGCGUAGAGAUCUGGAGGAAUACCGGUGGCGAAGGCGGCCCCCUGGACGAAGACUGACGCUCAGGUGCGAAAGCGUGGGGAGCAAACA
rnacentral:rRNA from 1 species